AGAGUUUGAUCAUGGCUCAGAUUGAACGCUGGCGGCAGGCCUAACACAUGCAAGUCGAACGGUAACAGGAAACAGCUUGCUGUUUCGCUGACGAGUGGCGGACGGGUGAGUAAUGUCUGGGAAACUGCCUGAUGGAGGGGGAUAACUACUGGAAACGGUAGCUAAUACCGCAUAACGUCGCAAGACCAAAGAGGGGGACCUUCGGGCCUCUUGCCAUCGGAUGUGCCCAGAUGGGAUUAGCUAGUAGGUGGGGUAACGGCUCACCUAGGCGACGAUCCCUAGCUGGUCUGAGAGGAUGACCAGCCACACUGGAACUGAGACACGGUCCAGACUCCUACGGGAGGCAGCAGUGGGGAAUAUUGCACAAUGGGCGCAAGCCUGAUGCAGCCAUGCCGCGUGUAUGAAGAAGGCCUUCGGGUUGUAAAGUACUUUCAGCGGGGAGGAAGGGAGUAAAGUUAAUACCUUUGCUCAUUGACGUUACCCGCAGAAGAAGCACCGGCUAACUCCGUGCCAGCAGCCGCGGUAAUACGGAGGGUGCAAGCGUUAAUCGGAAUUACUGGGCGUAAAGCGCACGCAGGCGGUUUGUUAAGUCAGAUGUGAAAUCCCCGGGCUCAACCUGGGAACUGCAUCUGAUACUGGCAAGCUUGAGUCUCGUAGAGGGGGGUAGAAUUCCAGGUGUAGCGGUGAAAUGCGUAGAGAUCUUGGAGGAAUACCGGUGGCGAAGGCGGCCCCCUGGACGAAGACUGACGCUCAGGUGCGAAAGCGUGGGGAGCAAACAGGAUUAGAUACCCUGGUAGUCCACGCCGUAAACGAUGUCGACUUGGAGGUUGUGCCCUUGAGGCGUGGCUUCCGGAGCUAACGCGUUAAGUCGACCGCCUGGGGAGUACGGCCGCAAGGUUAAAACUCAAAUGAAUUGACGGGGGCCCGCACAAGCGGUGGAGCAUGUGGUUUAAUUCGAUGCAACGCGAAGAACCUUACCUGGUCUUGACAUCCACAGAACUUUCCAGAGAUGGAUUGGUGCCUUCGGGAACUGUGAGACAGGUGCUGCAUGGCUGUCGUCAGCUCGUGUUGUGAAAUGUUGGGUUAAGUCCCGCAACGAGCGCAACCCUUAUCCUUUGUUGCCAGCGGUCCGGCCGGGAACUCAAAGGAGACUGCCAGUGAUAAACUGGAGGA
rnacentral:rRNA from 1 species